CCAAAGGCUCUUUUCAGAGCCACCCACGACUACACUUGAAAGCAG
rfam:Ovis aries breed Texel chromosome 1, whole genome shotgun sequence.